rnacentral:rRNA from 1 species
GUAACGGCGAGUGAAGCGGCAACAGCUCAAAUUUGAAAUCUGGCCUCGGCCCGAGUUGUAAUUUGCAGAGGAUGCUUCCGGCGACGUGCCUUCCGAGUCCCCUGGAACGGGGCGCCUGAGAGGGUGAGAGCCCCGUACGGUUGGACGCCGAGCCUGUGUGAAGCUCCUUCGACGAGUCGAGUAGUUUGGGAAUGCUGCUCUAAAUGGGAGGUAAAUUCCUUCUAAAGCUAAAUACCGGCCAGAGACCGAUAGCGCACAAGUAGAGUGAUCGAAAGAUGAAAAGCACUUUGGAAAGAGGGUUAAACAGUACGUGAAAUUGCUGAAAGGGAAGCGCUCGCGACCAGACUCGCGCCGGGCGGAUCAUCCAGCGUUCUCGCUGGUGCACUUCGCCCGGCCCGGGCCAGCAUCGGUUCUAGCGGGGGGACAAAAGCCCGGGAAACGUAGCUCCCUCCGGGGAGUGUUAUAGUCCCUUGCCUAAUAUCCCCGCCGGGACCGAGGACCGCGCCUCGUGCAAGGAUGCUGGCGUAAUGGUCGCCAGCGACCCGUCUUGAAACACGGACCAAGGAGUCGAACAUUCGUGCGAGUGUUUGGGUGGAAACCCCUCACGCGUAAUGAAAGUGAACGGAGGUGGGAGCCUCGGCGCACCAUCGACCGAUCCUGAAGCUUGUCGGAUGGAUUUGAGUGGGAGCAUGACUGUUCGGACCCGAAAGAUGGUGAACUAUGCCUGCGUAGGGUGAAGCCAGAGGAAACUCUGGUGGAGGCUCGCAGCGGUUCUGACGUGCAAAUCGAUCGUCAAACGUGGGCAUGGGGGCGAAAGACUAAUCGA